UCUCGCUCCUUCCCUGGAUCCGUUCUUUCCUCCUAAUUAUCCACAUACUCACAUUUUACCCUGUUUUUGUUGUUGUUGUUGUUUUGUUUUGUUUUGUUUUUUUAAUUUCUGAACUUCCCCUCAUACCCAAACAAAAGAUUCCGCGUUAGCCCUCCCAAUGGAGGUCACCCCGCAGUAGCCACUCACGCAACGUCGUCGCUACGGCUCCAACAGGUACAACGCAGCCAACCCAAUCAGAUUAAGGGAGACAUGACCUCGAUACAACAAUACGUAGUCACUCUAAAAAUCAAACCGAUUCCCUGGGAUUCCCUGGCUACCGCGGGCCUCCCAAACCGCAGAGGACCAGGCUUAAUGGCUGCCGAAAAGGGAGGCAUCUGUGCCUUCCUAGGGGAAAAAUGUUGUUUUUAUGCAAACCAAUCUGGCCUAGUACAGGAAACUUCUAAACAAUUAUUAGAAAGAAUUCGAAACAAGACAAGAAGCAGACAAUAGUUUCUGGAAGGACACCUGGAUUGCUUGAGGACUGUGGAUUCCCACCCCUCCUACCCCAACCCGCACCCCCACACCCGGAGAGGCUCAAUCAUUAGGACCUUUCUACAGUUGCUCUUUGGCCCCGCCCACUCUACGGGUCCCUCCCACAGAGACUACAGGCUUCCCUGCCGGUCAGGAUUUCUUGGCCCAUACCAGCCAUCCUCUCAUCCCCUUCAACUUGUCCUUUCCAUUACUGAGGACUCAGGCUGCGGUGGCUCACACCUUUCACCCCAGCAUUUGGCACGUGGAGGCAAGAUCAUCAGGACCCCUGGGAUGACCUGGGAGCCACCCAGGAAAUAUCCAUAUUCUGAGGCUAUCGACUGACAACCUGAAUUCCACUUUGUCUUGUUAAGUCACACUGUCUGUAAAAUAAUCUUGUUCCAGCCCGAGAAAAGCAGCCGCCACCUUCAGGAUCUUAGGGUUACUACUUGCAAGCCACCGUGAAGAUGGGGCUUGCAGUCUGUUCACGUUCACUCAUAGAAGGCGGGGUUGUUCUUGAAGCCUCAACCAAGAACCAGCCAGUUCUCCCAGCCCUGUGUUUACAAUUCUGCUCAAAUUUACAGGCACACCAGCUGGAAGGUUAAUUGAAGAGAGGUUCCGGUGUGGGUAUUUAGGGGGCGACGGGAGGCCAUCAUCUGUGCAGAACUUGCCGAACUGCUGCUUUGGAGUCACCCGCACUCCACAGUUAAGCCCAUCACACUCAUUGAUUCCCGAGAGGUUGAAUAUCGUUGGCAUUUAAAGACUUUCUAAAACAACAAAAGAUAACGCAGGGAAGAAACCAGGCUCGUUUGAAGAAACGCAUGGCCUUAUCACCGGGAACUGCGAAAGGGAGCAGAGAGUCCUUCAAAUGCAAAGGAGAAGCCGCAAUAUUAACCUGCAUCACAGCCCUGCACUCUCAGGCCUGCAGGAACCACGCGGGAAGCUUCGCAGUGAC
ensembl:lncRNA